GUGAUUCAUUGAUCAAUGCAUAGAUAUUAAAUAGUAGCAUCCUAAAUAACUUUAUAUAAAAAAAACUGAAUUUAAUGCCAAAAUUGAUAUUGAUUUUACAGGAUGUGGCUGACCUUUAUUAAUCGGAUCACUUACUGUAGCUAAUGAACCUCUAGAUAGAUAAUUAGAAUUUGUCUGUUUCUUUUUCUGUCUGUCUGUCUGUCUGUCUGUCUGUCUGUCUAUCUAUCUAUCUAUCUAUCUAUCUAUCUAUCUAUCUAUCUAUCUAUCUAUCUAUCUAUCUAUCUAUCUGCCUGCCUGCCUGCCGCCUGCCUGCCUGCCUGCCUGCCUGCCUGCCUGUCUAGCAUCUAUAUUUAAUGUAUUAUAUUUUGAUAAAAACUGUCAAACAGUUUCUGAACCUUUCAGGUUAUUAAGGGUCUCGGAAAAAUAAUUUACUGACUCUCCAUUACUUCAACAUGUAACAAUUCACUAAAAACUCAAGCACGUUUUCCUUUGGAGAGCAACUUGUGUGUACAGCAGAUUGUAGACAAGGGCGCUGGAACAGAUGUUCAUGAAAAGCCGAUUGUAUUCCUUCUGAUGGUUGGACGGCUGAAGUGGAGGUAGGCAGUGGAACAGAUGAAAGAGAAGCAGGAGAAUAAGAGUGUAUAACUCGCUCUCAUUGCCUGCAGUGAGGCAGAGGCUGGAGAGACAUGCAGAUGGGCGCAUCCUCAGGUAAUCCACCCGUUUAUGAGGAGAUUGAUGGAUCUGAGGCAAACGCAACUGACGCAAAGCUCACAUCUAUCUUGGUUUAAGGAUGUGGUCCGCCGAAAGGCUGGGAGGAGGAAUUACACGCAAAAGCACUAUGGCCCCUCAUAAAUCACUGCCACCCAGAGAAAGUGUCACAUUCCAGCGCUUGGUGGGAAUUGGGAAGAGGAAACAGGAAGGAGAGCCGAUGACAACAUCUGGUUGUGAUUUCAGAGAUGCGGGCAUGCUUGGGACUUUUCCAGACCAAAGUAAUCAUAUUUUUGUCAGCACGGCUAUCUCUUACCUGCUGCAGAGUGUGAAUGAAUAAUUGAAAUCCUGACCUUGCAGCAGAAGCUGUCACAAAGGUGUCCAGCGGUCGGCCCUGUAGUGAGGGCUUGCUGCGGGUGGCAUGUGUGUGUGGGUGUAACCGGCUUGCUACCAUGACAACAGAGGCCCAGGAGACCCUGCCCAUGCCACAGCGUGAUUGGCCGGUUUAUGAAGUGGCAUCUGCCGUCCAGGGGGCCAUAUGGACGAACUGACAUUUAGCGACACUCUCCGUGCUAUACAAGGCCGUGUGGCUGAGAGAAAGAGAGGACUUGCGCUGUAACCUUUACACACACGGUCACACACAAGCAAGCCGUAGUCCUAAAGCCCUGCUGUGACCCGCACAGGCCCAUGCUGGUGCUAUGACACAUGUGCUUCAAACAGAAGAACAGGCAUUAGAUCAGAAAGGCAAGCCGCAUGUAUUAAAGAAUCGGCCCCUCACAGAUUUUCUAACACACAUCACUGAGGACGCAGGGAAAAUCUCUGCAGAUGGGAGCCUCUCUUUCACCCUGGUGUGAGCUCAGCUGUGUGUCGCGCUGACAUCACCCUGUCCCACACGAACUGAUGUCAGAUUCCAUGCUGAAGUUUCCUCAUCUCUCUGGGACGGCAGUCGAGCCG
ensembl:lncRNA